AUAUUUAAGUGAAGAAGCUUAAAUUUUAUUAAAAGACAAGAAGACCCUAAUGAUUUUUAUUUUUAUACUAUAUAUAUAAAGUUUUAAAUUAUUUUAUAAAAUAUAUAAAAUUUUACUGGGGCGGUAAUAAAAUAAUAAUAAACUUUUAUAUAAAUAUGAUAUAUAUCUUUUUUAUGAUCCUAAAAAGAUUAAAAGUAAAAAAUACCAUAGGGAUAACAGGCUAAUUAAUUUAGAUAGUUUAUAUUGAAAAAUUAGA
rnacentral:rRNA from 1 species